rnacentral:misc_RNA from 1 species
AACCAUAGAAACCUGCGGAGUACCUGCGGAAGGAUCAUUACAGAGUUGCAAAACUCCCACAAACCAUCGCGAAUCUUACCCGUACGGUUGCCUCGGCGCUGGCGGUCCGGAAGGCCCUCGGGCCCCCGGACCCUCGGGUCCCCCGCUCGCGGGGGGCUGCCCGCCGGAGUGCCGAAACCGAACUCUUGAUAUUUUAUGUCUCUCUGAGUAAACUUUUAAAUAAGUCAAAACUUUCAACAA